GGGUCGUUAGCUCAGCUGGUAGAGCAGCGGACUCUUAAUCCGUUGGUCGUAGGUUCGAUCCCUACACGGCCUACCA
rnacentral:tRNA from 6 species